UGCUGGGUGGGUUUGGAAGUAGUCCAAAGGAAGGGAUGCAUUUCUGAUGGAUGGUUAAGCAAGGAGCCUUUGACGAUGCAGACCUGAAGGCAGAAGGGCAUGGCUGUAGGAGGAGGGAGAGGUGGCCCCUACAUCCAUUACAAGAGAAAACGAAGGCAGGAUUGAAUGUUCAAGAUGCUCAACAGAGCUGGAAAGAUCAUCUCUUGCUGUGUGUAUCUGGUGGUGGAGCACGGCCCCCAGGCAGCCGAAAGCUCAGCUGCCCCUGGAAGGAAGGCAGAACGGGAUCAGCGCAGUGUUUCCAUUCGGGAGAGGUGAAAUCUGCUGCUUCCCCAGGAGCACUGCACUGGAGAGGCAAGGAAUGAACCCGAGCUGAGCCCCGGCUCCAGAUCCUGCAGAUCCCUCCCCAGAAUGGAUCAAAUACCCCCAGCAGUGCUCCAGGAAAAACAAGUUGACACACAUGGAAGAGGAGGAAGGCAGCAAUCUGGACUCCCAGAGCUGUAUGGAUCAACCUCCACUGCCGAGGUCUCAGCUGUAAG